CGUGCUCCGGGGCGUGGCCGCGGUACGUGCGCUCGGUUCUCAUUGGCGCCGCACCCGGAAGAGCCGCUGGCGCCUGCGCGGUGGGGCCGGCGCGCUGCCCCUUCCCCGAGAUGGAGGCGGCGGCGCGGCGACCGCGGGAGCGGCAGGAGAGGGAGCAGGGGCAGGACGAUGGUGGGCAGGUGCUGUCACCAUCCCUGUCGGGACAGUCCUACUGGCUGGACCUGUGGCUCUUCAUCCUCUUCGACCUGGCGCUUUUCUUGCUUAUCUACCUGCUGCCCUGAGGGCGCGGCCCAGGGCCAUUGCCACCAAGGGAAUUCUCGCCUAUUUCGCACCUUAUGAACGCAGGCGGUGGAAGAGGAGGACCAUUUGUGCGGGAUAAGCAGCUGGGAACACGGCUCCACUUGAGUCUCGAUGGAGGAGGCACAUUCUUGUACUGUACCGUGCUAGAUCUCUGCGUGUCGCAGGUGUUACUGUUCAGGUUUUACCUGUGUCCCGUUCGUGUGUCCCGAGCUGUGCCUUAGGGGUCACGUACGACAGACAGACCGUGCUUGUGUGAUUAGUACCUAAAGGUUUCUUGUGCAGAAGUGGAAGUGUGCAGUGUUUGAAUAAAAUCCACUGAAAGGACACCCUGCAGAGUUGCUGAGAAUAAAACACUCUUGUGUACGCCGAAGGUGUAACUCAGACCUGUUCCCUCAAGGUGAAGCUUAGCCAGCUGUUCUACUUCCAAAAAGUUAAUCCUGAUGGGUUGAUGCUGGUUGCUUUUCUAUUAUACCUUUCUCUGUUUUAUUCUUUCUUUACCUUCAGCAGUUACUGAGCCCUUUCAGGCUCAGUAUUUACAGAUGUGAAUAUACAUGUGUAUAAACAUGUCAGUAUCUUAACCCAA